GACUAAUCCGCGGGCCGCGGGGAAUGGGUGGCGCGCCAGCCGGUCGGCAGGGGUCACGCGGCCGGGUGUGCGCGGAAUGGAUUCAGGGUUCUCGGGUCGCGCCCGGGAGCUAGAGUCCUGACUCCCAGCCGGGGUCCCCGACCGGCCUUUCGGGGUUGCCGGGCGCGCUCUGCAAAGGGGAAACUGAGGCCCAAGGAAAUUGAGUAUCUCUGCAAAGUCACCAGCUGAGUUCGAACCAGACAGAUCCUGGGACCCCCUACUCUAUCCGCCACCGGAAGAAUCUCCGUCCUUGUCUUUCCAUUCUGCCCUCCCGGCUUCCCAGUAAGGUAGGCAGGGCCUGGUGGUGCACUGCCCCGUUUCAUAGAUUGAAGAAAGUGAGGUCCAGGGGGCUCAAGUCCCAGUUCCGAGUGUCCACGGCACACAGCCCCAGGACCACCCUUGACCGUCCUCAACCAAGCGAUGCAUGCCAGGGGCCCCCAUGGCCAACUGUCCCCAGCACUGCCUCUGGCCUCCUCAGUCCUGAUGCUGCUGAUGAGCACCCUGUGGCUGGUGGGGGCCGGCCCCGGCCUGGUCCUGGCCCCGGAGCUGUUGCUGGACCCCUGGCAGGGUGAGGGCCAGCCACGUGGACCUUGGAGGAAGC
rnacentral:lncRNA from 1 species